ACGAACGCUGGCGGCGUGCUUAACACAUGCAAGUCGAACGGAAAGGCCCUGCUUGCAGGGUACUCGAGUGGCGAACGGGUGAGUAACACGUGGGUGAUCUGCCCUGCACUUCGGGAUAAGCCUGGGAAACUGGGUCUAAUACCGGAUAGGAGCCAUUUUUAGUGUGAUGAUUGGAAAGUUUUUUCGGUGUAGGAUGAGCUCGCGGCCUAUCAGCUUGUUGGUGGGGUAAUGGCCUACCAAGGCGGCGACGGGUAGCCGGCCUGAGAGGGUGGACGGCCACAUUGGGACUGAGAUACGGCCCAGACUCCUACGGGAGGCAGCAGUGGGGAAUAUUGCACAAUGGGCGCAAGCCUGAUGCAGCGACGCCGCGUGGGGGAUGACGGCCUUCGGGUUGUAAACUCCUUUCGCUAGGGACGAAGCUUUUUGUGACGGUACCUAGAUAAGAAGCACCGGCUAACUACGUG
rnacentral:rRNA from 1 species